UCUGGGAACUGUGACAGUUAGUAAUGUUACAGAUCAAGAUGGUCUUCGUUUCAACAUAAGUGCAACAUCAGAAUCUGAUGCUCCUCCAAUCCUUAAUGCCCUCGAAACUUAUAAAUUCAUAUCGCCACUAACACCUCCAACUUACCGAACAGAUGCGGAUGCCAUUCGGGACAUAAAAGAAACCUACGAAAUCUACAAAGUAGAGUGGCAAGGUGACCCAUGUGUUCCGGAGGAAUUUGAAUGGCAGGGACUAAGUUGCAUAUAUGACAUCAAUAACUCUAAUCCCAGGAUUUUCUCACUAAACUUGAGCACCAGCAACUUAAGAGGACAAAUAGCUGCUUCUUUUUCACAACUUACAGAGUUAGAAUCCUUG